CAUAUGAAGCUCAUAUGUAUGGAUGAGUGAGACUGCGGUGGGACCACCUGGCUACUGAGAGCUCCUCCUAUCUGAGACACAGAGUUCCCAAUAGACCUUCAACCAUGAAGAUCCUUUGCCUGAUCCUUGCUGUUUUCCUUCUGGUGCUCCAGGGUGCACCAGAAUUUUCCCAGGCUAAGAAUCCCUUUCUGCAAUGUAGAUUCCAUGGGGGUGAAUGUUACUAUAAGAGAUGUCUCUUCAGUUCUAAGUUCAUGGGAAUGUGUGGGAAACAGUAUAUGUGCUGUCAAAGGUGAUUUACUGACUGAUUCCCUAGGCAGGAUCGCUGGGAAUCUGGAAGACAGAUUCUAAAAUCAUCAGAUCUUGCUUCAAAGGAAGGCUAAAAUUUUGUUUGCUUGGACUGGAAAGAACUUUGUGAGUUGGAGAAAUUUCAGGAGGAGCCUUUGAAUCACCCCGAGAAGAUCUGUGACUCUCCAUUCAAUAAAAGCAAAUUGGUUUCAGACAAUAUG